GUGACUUCGGACGCCGGCGUACGGCUCAGUAACACGUAGGUAACCUACCCUCAGGACUGAGAUAACCCCGGGAAACUGGGGCUAAUAUUAGAUAGAUAAAAGGUACUGGAAUGUUCUUUUAUCCAAAGCUUUUGCGCCUGGGGAUGGGCCUGCGUCCGAUUAGGUUGUUGGUGGGGUAAUGGCCCACCAAGCCUACGAUCGGUACGGGCAGUGAGAGCUGAAGCCCGGAGUUGGGGACUGAGACAAGGCCCCAGGCCCUACGGGGCGCAGCAGGCGCGAAACCUCUGCAAUGCGGGAAACCGUGACAGGGGGAUCCCAAGUGCUCAUGCAUUGCAUGGGCUGUUCUUUGGUCUAAGUAACCAGAGGAGUAAGGGCUGGGCAAGACCGGUGCCAGCCGCCGCGGUAAUGCCGGCAGCUCAAGUGGUAGCCGCGAUUAUUGGGCCUAAAGCGUUCGUAGCCGGAUAAGUAAGUCUUUGGUUAAAUCCUGCAACUUAACUGUGGGAAAUCUAGGGAUACUGCUUGUCUUGAGACCGGGAGAGGUUAGAGGUACUCCUAGGGUAGGGGGUGAAGUCCUGUAAUCCUAGGGGGACCACCUGUGGCGAAGGCGUCUAACUGGAACGGGUCUGACGGUGAGGGACGAAACCUAGGGGAGCGAGCCGGAUUAGAUACCCGGGUAGUCCUAGGCGUAAAUGAUGCGAGUUAAGUGUGGGGGCAUCUACGAGAUGGCCCUGUGCUGUAGGGUAGCCGUUAAACUCGCCGCCUGGGGGGUACGGUCGCAAGGCUGAAACUUAA
rnacentral:rRNA from 1 species